UGCGUAGGCGGGUCUUUAAGUCAGGGGUGAAAUCCUGGAGCUCAACUCCAGAACUGCCUUUGAUACUGAAGAUCUUGAGUUCGGGAGAGGUGAGUGGAACUGCGAGUGUAGAGGUGAAACUCGUAGAUAUUCGCAAGAACACCAGUGGCGAAGGCGGCUCACUGGCCCGAUACUGACGCUGAGGCAAGACUGGGGAGGCAAACA
rnacentral:rRNA from 1 species